CUCCCCUUUCCUCGUUUUCCCUUCCCAGGGGGGGCGGCUCCCGUCCCCGCCCCAUCGGCACAUCCCAGUUCCUCCGACGCCGACCACUGGAGAAAGCGCCUUACUCAGAUCCGCUUCUCCCCCUCGUCUUCGUGUUCCACCCGCCCAGUAUGGUUGUAGAGGAGGGGCGAGGAAGGGGAUGGCGUGGCCGUCGGCCGGAGGCAGAGCAGGGUGCUGCCAGCGGGAGAGGCACCCCUCCCUGCUUCUUGGCGAGCGUUGGCACUUCUUCCAGGCCCGCUACUUCGUCGGGGAGGACGAGAUCAACCUGCUCCAGGCCCAAAGAAGAAGAGCACGGAGAACAUCCUCUCCUUUACAUCUACAAUCGAAUUUAUAGGUGAUCGAUCCAUGGAGUUCAAGUAUUUGUCAAAUUUCUUGCAAGGCUGAUAGUUUUAUUUAUAUGCCUCAUAUGCAAGCUCCUAACCCACUGUAGAAGUUGUCCGUUGUGGAAAAAAAAGAACAGUUUUGCUAAAGCACAUCUAGAUGUGCAAUAAGUAUUGCACAUCUAAGUCCUAUGUCAUUGAUCUUAUGUUGAGAUUUGUGUGGAUAUUUUCUUUUCUUUUUUCUUUUCCUCUUUAUGCUUGAUUCACUCACUUAGAUGUGCAAUAAUUAGAGCACAUCUAGAUGUGCCCUAGACACAUCCAAAAAAGAAUCCCAAUUUUCCUAUAUGAAAAAAUGCUCUUGUGCGGCAUAUGGUCAUUCGCUAUCUGAUGGUUGCAGCUUAAGGCAUGCUAAAAACUCGCAGGAUGGAGUUGAAACUCUUCAUCUUUGUGUAGCAGCAGCAGAAUUACAAGUAAGAAACAUAUUGCAUGAUAAAGCACUAAUGCCACUGGGGAGACAGUAUGUGAAGAUUGGGUUACUGCAAGAAGACAAAACGCAUCACUGAUAGUUUACUAAAUCAAGUGCCAUGCUCUGUUUUUUUUUGCAGGUCACAAAAUGGCAAAAUGCUUUGAAUAGCAUAUGUACUUCCGUCAGUUGCAUUCCAUGUCUUUUAUCUCAUCUAUUUUAUUUGGAUUAGGAGAUGGAAAUUUAAAGGGAAAGGAAAGCAGCGGCAUCCCGUGUACUUACGUUCAGAUUUAUGGGCAGAGAGACAGUAACUUGUAAGGUAGGGCUAUGAGUGAUGGGAGAGCACUUGUUGUCAGGGCUGGCUACGGCGGCAACAAGAUAACAUUCACGGUAGUGAUGUGCUGCCUCACGGCGGCCUCCGACGGGCUCAUUCUUGGAUACGACGUCAGAAUCACAGGUUCUUUGUACCACGGACUUUGACCCUAUUUCUGAGAUCAGGUAACUGGAUACUUGACACAUAGUUGAGACAAUUGCAUUUCAAUAACUGAAACUAUUUUUGCCCUAUACUUAUAUUUUAUUAGCCUUUGUGCAACCAUCCAACAAAAGAAAGAGCAGCUAUAUAGUUUCCUUGGAUUGCACGAUAAUAACAUUUCUUGCUUAGGAAUAACAUGAACAUUCACUCUCAUGAAGUACCAACAUCGCUAUUUUUUAGUGACCCGGAGUUUAGUUCGGCAUCAUUAUGAGAGUCCUCUGGACAAAGUUAGGCUUAGACCUGGAAUUGCUUCAUGUGAGUUUCUCUGAACUGUACUAGCCCAGAAUGCUAACAUACACAGGUAUUGCCCAGGGUUUAAUAUUAACUUGGAACUUUGUUCAGUCUUAUGAAAGCUUUACUGAAUCCUAUUAACAUGUAUUUACUCAAGGAUAGUGCAGGAUCAGCACGGGCCACUGAGGAACACGUGAGUUUUCAUCCAUUGUCAAAUACCACUGAAGUUGUGUAUAUAUGUAGGGUUAGUCACAUGUCAUCAGUGCUUUGUUUGGUCUCUCAUCCACUAAAUGUUGUUUACUUUGCUAUUACUACUACAAAGUCAUAGUUCAGUUACUCAUUUUUAAUCACAUGUCCAUCACAAACUCCUGAAUCUGACAGUAAGGUUUUAAUCCACACAUAAGGACAUGUAUUCUAUGUAUUAGUUGCCACAUCAAUAUUUGCGUUUAUGCUCAAAAUAUACCCCGUGGUAUACUUAGAACUGUUGCCCUACAAGCUAACUUGCAUCAUGUAUGUAUCUUCUAUUAGGUAUCGUAGUAAAGACAGUUCGAAAUACAUUCCCUGGGAUGGUCCAUGAUACUCUGGUAGCUCUUUAGGUAUCCUAUAUCUUUUAUUUGUGCAUCAUUCACCUUUGGUAAAUCCAGUGCGUUGACCACUAGCGACCACUUUCUUUUCUGUGUAUUGGUGCAGUUGUUGCAUAUUCUACCAUCAUCAUUUCCCUUUCCUCUUGCUUGCUCCUCAUUUAUUUCCUUGAGCAAGUGGAUGGCUAUUUAUGUAGGUACAUGUUUUCUUAUGGCUCUCAUUGUUUGUAUGGCCUUCCCAGGAGAUGUAGGCCUUCAUUUUUGCAGUUUCAGGUAUUAACGUUGUUGAAUAUCAUCCUCAACAACUCCUUGCCACGGCCACUAGCUGUAAGACACCGUUCCCUACAUAAUUAGUUUCUUUCUUGUUCCUUGAGUUCUUACUUGCUGCUGUAGUUGAUUGGAUUGGGAGAUAUUUGUGUUUUAUCAAAUUCAUAUGGGAUUCUUUUAAGUUCGAGAAAAAAUGAUCGAAGAGAACGAGGAAGGCCCCGAUCAGCCGACGGACGUGGCGGCUGCUGCGGCUGUUGAUGCUCUGGGCAUGUACAGCACAGCCGCGUCGGCCUUGGCGGCAGGCGCAUCACAAAGUUCUAUGUGUAAAUGAACUGCGGCGACAAUUCUGGAGCUGCAAUUCACCGACAUGAUGAAGAGUAUCAUCUUAUAGAUAUAGUGUUAAGAUUGCUUAUUUAUUUGAUGUAUUUGGUUAGUUUUUAUGAAGAAGAGCAUCGUAUGUAAUGCAUCAGUUGUACAUGCAUGCAUUUUAUCAAUCAGAGCUCAAAUUCACUGAAA